rnacentral:rRNA from 1 species
AACGGAGGGGACGAGUGUUAUUCAUCAUGAUUGGGCGUAAAGGGCGCGUAGGUGGCGCGGCAAGCGUGCGGUGAAAGCUCGGGGCUCAACCCCGAGUCGGCCGUGCGAACUGCUGUGCUUGAGCACUGUAGAGGCAGGCGGAAUUCCGGGUGUAGCGGUGGAAUGCGUAGAGAUCCGGGAAGAACACCGGUGGCGAAGGCGGCCUGCUGGGCAGUGGCUGACACUGAGGCGCGGACAGCGUGGGGGAGCAAACAGG